GCAGCUGUUUUCCUGGGAUAUGACGGGGUGCAGCAGUGGUAGCAAUGGCAGUGAACGUGGUGGCAUCAGGGUGGCCUAAGCGGGGAUGUUGUUGCUGUUUCUGGUGGUCGUGGGAGGGGUGCGAUGAUGUGAACGGUGGCGGCAGGGUGGCUGAGGGUGGGACGGUGGUGACAACGGAGGUGGCGGUGGAGCGGGUGUUGGGGGGAUGGAGGUGAUGAUGGUGGAGGUGCCGGUGACGGGAAUGGCAGUCCUGACUGUGGCGGGUGGGGUUCAGAGUGUUAGCGACGGCGGCAGCCGUGAGGAUAUUGGUGGGGGUUGUUAAUUUCUGCGGCCUCCUCUGGAGAGUUUCUGAGCAAAAGCGUCUUCUCUUUUCUCUGUGCCCGGAAGAGUUGAGUCACUUUUUCUUCGUAGGUUGGCUUUUCAUCCCCCUGCCUCUAUUCACUUCCACGCUAUUGACAAGAUCUGUGGUUGUCCAGGAGCCGCUGGGGAGAGACAGACCCCGUGACCGUUUCCCCGAAGGCGGCCUUUGGCCGCUCCGUGCGGGAGCACAUGACCCCCUGCCUCGCCCCUGGCACAUUAACCAGGUGACUGCCUGCCAGGGCCCGGCCCAGUCCAAAGGGAUUUGGGAUUCAGUGUCCCAAACAAGGCACUGAUUAGCUGGUAAUCAGGCAGCGAUUAGCAGAUCGGGUCACCCGCAGUUCAGUGCCCAUUGUUCCCUGCAAAGUCCCGGGAUGUUUGCCACGCGGCCAGAGAGUCUGAAUGUCUGAGGAUCCCAACGCCUGCAGGGAAACGUAAAAGGAUUUGUGCAGCAUACCUCACGACGUUGCAGUACAUUCUCAUGAAAAGUCAGAGCGUGAUUUUGAACUAAGAGGGGAUCAACGAAAUGAUUCGUGGAGCAUUCGUGUCAGUGGGUCCCACACAGGUCUGUGAUCACUGGGUCCUCGAAUCAUCUGGAGAUCUUAGUAGAACGCGGCUUCUGAUUUUGUUAAGUCUGGGGGGAGGCCCAAGGCUUUGCGUUUCUAGUGAAUUCCCAGGUGAUUCCAGGGUUGCGGUCCAUGGGCCCCACUUUGAAUAAACAGGAUAUGCGUUUUUGUGAUGAAGAAGUAUGCAAACGUGUACUUCUAUACAGAAAACCUUCCUAGGCUGUCCUCAAGUGCCGGCAUCUCCACACUAGGCCUUCUCAGCGGGUGAACCGCAAAGAAAUCACAUUAUUAACACACACGCAUUCCGUAGGCUUCGACUCUCUGAGGCUAAGGUGGGUUCCAGCUCCGAUACAGCGGCUGGCCAGGGUUCGAGGCCCGGAGGCAUGCAAGCCAGCCAGGUGCAAGAUGGACAGCUAUUCACUCAGAGGAACCCAGAGAGUUCUGAAGGCUGAUUCUGGCUGCACGCGGAGAAGGCAUCCCAACCAACAUGGUGGGGUGUCUUCAGGAACUGGAAAGAGCUCAACAAAGUCCAUCCUACCACAAUGACAGAUUCACUGGCCCCCCCUCUAAGGACUGGGAUGAGGGAAAGAUCUCCAGGAUCUAAGGGUGGGUGGGACUAAGAUCUUUUCUUCCUUUUGAGAACUCUCCCGUUACCCCCACGUCCCCCACCCCGCCAGCAAAGAAGAGAAAAAUUGGGUAUGGGAGCCCAAUAUCUCCUCCUUAACAGACUGUUACGGUCUCGGAGAGGUUGCCAGGGUCUGAAUGAGCACAGGGAACCCGGGUUGAAUUCUAACCUUACGGUUUAAUACCUAAACGGCCUUAACUGGAUCCAUGGCUCCGUUUUGGCCCAUGGGCAAUGGGAACAGCAGCGCAAUAAUAUCUUUAAGGUUAGUAAUUCUGUAGCUAAGAGAUCCUAGCCGCUGGUCGGGCACAAAGCAGGUUCGCUUAUGCCCAUGCUAAUAAAUGUUAUGCUUUGUAUUCAGGAUUCGCUGCCCUUGUCACCAUAGCAUACACCUGUGCCUAUCUGGAAGAACCCCCAGCCACCAGGAAGUCCCUUUGACUGGCCACCCCCCUCCCCCAUCACCGUAUCCGUUCAUAGGUCAGUCAGACGUCGGGGAGAAACAGAUGGCGUUCUCAGACUGGGUAAUAGGAGGAGAGUUUAGUCAAGGACUUUUCACAGGGGUGAGGACAGGGUUUAGGAAGUCCGUAAAGGAAAACAUAAGGCCCCGGGGCUAGCAACACCCAGCUCUCCUCACGGCUUGAAAGGCCAAGGGGAAGAAGCAAUACAAGAGCCCAGAGAGGGGAGCUGUGUGGAGAAUAUCGCCCGACAGGGGCAGGGGCUCUGGUCUUUAUUGGGGGGGAGGGGGCAGCCAACUCACCAAGGACGGGGACACUAGGCAAUAAACCCAGACCCCUCUCUUCCUACCUUCCUAAGCCUGCUUAUGCUCUUACCUUGGUGCACUUUUUCCUCUGAUCGCUUUCCCCUGAAUCCUUUCUGACCCUACUGGGUGGCUAUUUUAUGGGCUCAGUUACACGCUCGAGAGGUGAAAAUGACUUUUCCAAAGGGGCCACCAUGGCGACAGCAAUGCAAGAUGUACAACCCAGAGACAGAACAUGUGGAAAGUGAGAUCUAUCUUAAAACGGAUCUGCAAACCACCAUUCUGGGACCCUCCAUCCUGGAUAUCCAGUCUCACUGGUGAGCUAACCAUGAAACUCACUGAAAGAUUUCCAGAAGCAGACAACUCCUAGAAGAAGAAAGAUUCUUCCCAAGUUUUGAUGGAACAAGAUGAUGGCUCCAUUCUGUGGAACCCAAAGGGAAAUCAGAUGGCAGGAGAAGCCAUUGCUGUCGCUUUCCAGCAGGUUGAGGGAGGAGUUGUCCCCAGAAGUGUUUGGAAGGAGGACAGUGAUCUGGAGGGGCCCCUGGAACACUGUAGCAACUCUGUUGAUACAAAUCUGACCCUCACUUCAUAAAAGCUUCUAGACAACCCACCCUAUCACAUCCCUCCUUGGAGCUCACACAUUCUUUUCGUGUCUGACAUUCAUUAGUUUGUAUCAAUUCUCUAUAUGAAUAAAUCACUUCCUGAGUAAAUGGUUAAAUCCUUGAGGGCGGGAAGGUGCUAUACUAUAAUGAUAACACCCUGUGCUUUAGGACUUGUGAAGGUU